AGAGAACUCUACCCAGAACCCUCUCCCUCUCCCCCUCCCCCUCCUCUUCCCCCCUUCCCUUUUCCCUCCCCCUCCCCCUCUGGAUCUACCGAUACUCUUCUUGGAUAAGCCAGUCAUUCCCUAGAAAGGACACAUCAGAGCUCGUGAGUUACAGAUUACCCCUGCCUGUCAAGGCAAGACACUGCACCUGGCCAGGCCUCUGGGAUUGGAUGCAGAAUAAAGAAGAAGCCUGUUGGGGAACACAGAGCUCUAGAGUACCAGGCCCUGUAUCCCUGAGGAUCAUCAUGUACAUCUGUGUGGCAUCAGCCUGCUCGGCAUGGCUUGGGAGAAGCUGAGGCAGAGGAAAGAAAAGUGACUAACACAGGAAAAUGGUACCAAGAAGUGAGGCUAUUGUUGUAAAAAAAAAAAAAACCUAAUAAUUGACCUCAGGUAUUUAGAACUGCUUUGUCGAAAGAAUGUGAAAAAAGUUGAACUUUUACCUAAAAAAUAAUCUAGAAUGGUCUGAGAUUAAUGGCUCAUUCUGAUGGGAGUUUGAAAAAACCAUAAUCUGGGAAGAAAUGUGGAAAAUGAAGGUCCAGCUUACGAAGUUCCAGAGGGGAACGAGGAUUCUCCAGGGGACUGGGUUAGAGGCCAUUCAAGUUAUACUUUGACAAAGAGUGUGCCUUCGCUCUGUUCUUGCCAUCUUGAGAUGUUAACUGAGGUCUGAUACAGACAGAAGGGACUGAUUUAUUUGGAGGAAGAAGUUUCAAGACAGGAGAGUAUUUUGUCUGUGCCAUGGCUGCCACUCUCAGUACAAAGAGAGAGAACAGAAAGUUGUGGCUUCGAGCUGCUGUUGGGCUUAUUAAAGAGAUGAGCACCAUCAACAAGCAGCCUGCUCGGCACUGAGUCAACAGAAAAGGUUCCCCAUAAACAAGACUCCAUCCAUCAAAGACUCCACCUUGUGGAAAUCUAAAUUCAUUUGAAGAGAGAGAACAUGACCCGAGAAUGCCACUGAAGGGGCUCCAUGCUCAAAAACGAUUUCCUAGGAAACUGGUUCUCUAGGGUCAUCCGUAGAAGGCACACAGAGGAUUCAGCAACUAUGGUCCAAGGGAGGCAAGCUACAUCUUGAGUAGACAGUAGAACUUGGCAGCAUCACCCAUGUAAUGUUGACUUUAGAGGCAUGAGUAAAGGGGUGGUGGGUACUUGUACCAAGGUUUCAGAAGUCUACUGAAGACAGGCAAUGUGUGCAAGAGUUGGGUUUCCUGAAAGGUGAACCUGGGAAGACACUGCUUGAAACCAGAAGGCGAAGCCUAACUUGCAAUGGAGGUCCCAAGAUAGUGGAGAAUUGAAAAUGCCAGGACUAUGGAAUGUCCACUUGGGAAAGUUACAUGUAUUGAAUAGAGCCAGCCCAAAUGAGAGGCUGUGUACACUCUGGGUAGCAAAGCUGGGCGUUGAGUCUAACCAGGUGCUUUGGAUACCAAAUGAUUCUAUUAUUAUCCCCAGAUACUGGAAAUGGUAGGAUUUGAUGUUACCCAUGCUGGGGUUUGGUCUUGCUUUAGUCUUAUUAUUAAUUAUUUUAAUAUUAUGGGUUUGUAUGAUGUGUGCAGGUGUAAUAUGUAUAUUUGUACAUACUUGUGUGUGUCAGUGCAAGCACAGGCAUUGGUAUGUUUGUGGACAUUGGAGGAUAAUCUUGGGAAUCAGUCAUUCCUUGCCUUCCCUGUCAUUUAAGACAAGAUCUCUGGUUCACUGUUAUUCUGGCUGGUUAGCCUCUGAGCUUCCGGACAGCCUCUAGUCUGCAAUUCCCAUUUUGUCACAAGCAUGCUGAAACUGUGGUGUGCUUUACGUGAGUCGAGGGAUCCAAACUCUUCCUUGUUAUGUGCAUCGAGAGUUUUAUCCUCGGACACAUCUCUCAAGCCCUGGUCAAUACUUCCUUACCAUGCCUCGAUUACUCCCUUUUGAAAUGAGAAUGUUUACUUUGUGCCAUUACAUGUUAGAAGAGUAUAAUUGUGUGAGUGUGUGAGUGUGUGUGUGUGUGUGUGUGUGUGUUGUAAGUGUUGUUCGUUAAAGGGAUGGCCUGAGUCUCAGAAGAGAUUCUGCACUUGCAUUUUCAAACAGACUCAUAGCUAUUAAACACAAGGGAACUUUUGAAGUUGAAGUGAAUGCAUUUUGCAUUAUGAGGUGUCCAUUAGACAGUGGGAACAAGGGGAGAAAGACCAUGGUUUAUACACGGUACUUUUGGCUGUCAAGUUGAAGGAAGCAAUACAGCUUUUGAGAGUUAAUAUUGCAAACUUCAAAGGAUCUACUGCCAUGUCCAGCACUGCUCCAGGAGCCAGCAUGGAUAGGGUGUCCCAGGAAUGAGCAGACAGACCAACACAGACAGAAAGCUGGGAUUGCGUGUUGGUCUGGGCGCUUUGAUGGAGACAUCCUAACACCUCUGGAAGUUCAGUGUGCUUAUUAUAUAUAGUUGAACAGAGAGACAGGGUUAUUAAUACAAAAUGAGGAGGGGUUAUUACAUACAGAUAAACAAGGAGGCAGUUUACACUACACAGCUGGCUCAAGGAGACAGGUCCAGCUAAUGUGAGCUAGGAGAAGUCUCUCUGGGAGAGGAGUCUACAUCCUAUACACAUCUGGGCAGAGAAAGGGAAGGUAUAUAUUUUCUACACACACUAUCAACGUCUACACAUGGACCAGGAGAUGGGACUUUGCCAUUUCCUUCUGAAUCUGAAGGUUCAGGUCCUUGACAUGGCAGAGCCCAUGUCAACAACACAGAUUCACUUAAGACCUUACAUACUAAGGACUUCCUCUGCUCCCCACAAUCUAGAAUUAUCUAGGGGACAAGACUUGAAACAUUUCUAUGAGGGAGUUUUUAAGUUAAGUUAAUUGAGAUGGCAAGACUCAUCCUAAAUGUUGGCAGCUUCAUCAACACUGGGCUUGUUGUCCAGGGAACACAGCUGAGAACCUUGCCCAGUGCAGAGGGGAUAUCUGUCUGUCUAGAUUUGGACUGAUCUGAUGGGUGACAACAAGAACAAGUUUGACAAGUUGUUGUGACAAGUCUGAUGAAUAUUUCUUGCUGUUCCUACGUGGCUUUUGGCAUCGUUGGGACUUCCUCACAAGAUAGCCACUGUAGAACAUCAAGGCUCCAGCACUGCGACCUCAGGAGAUAUGGAACAAAAUAAAACGGUGUUGCCCCUUUUGAGAGUCAAGGGGACAUGAGUCCCGGCUAUCCAUCUGAAGGUGUCCAAGUUACACUAAAACAAAACUUGUAGAACAGAUGGUGCUGAGGUACUCUCUUUGAAAAACACACCUUGCCACGGGAUGACUAGCAGAGAGAUACAACAUGUGUGUACUCGGUGAAGUUUUCUACUCUUUCCAUGUGCAGAAUCUCCCUGCUCCACACACCCUUUCUUCCAAACCAGAACUGUGCACAGAAGGCCAAAGGCUUCUACAGCUGACUGCACACAUGGCUCCUAUGACGUGCUCAAGGACCACUCUUUUGCAAGCGUGUGACCUUGUUAAUAUUUUAAAUAUGGCGGCCCAAACCCUGUGAGAAGGAAACUAUUUUCCAUCUUUACUUCAGGGUGCUGAUUUCCUGGAUCUUGAUCUGAGUUUAACAGCUAGAAGAAGAACACUAGGUCCUGGACCCUGUCAACAAAUUCCUUCCAGCCAAGAACACACAGCUUCCACUUGGUUCACCUCUGGAGGAAUCUGGGCAAGCACAACAGAGACCCUGUAUUUCAACUCAGCAUCUUCAGCACAUUCAACUGGAAUGAAUGUCACACGUUUUAGAGAGAGGACCUAUUUCAUUCAAGGCAUGCACUGUAAAGAGGGGAACCGAAAUUGACCUUUCCUUUUAUUCUGAACAUCUCAGCUUAAGUAGGAUGCUAGAUGUUAAAAGUUUAUUUAUUAAACACUUUUUAAGAAAUUACCAUUUCCGUUGGUCCUAUCUCUUUAAAUUGAGAUGAAGCCAGGAGGCUGCAUGUUGAGCUCAACUGCAAACAGGGUCUCACUGUCCUCAGUCUAAACAGAAGGGAAAAAUUCAUAUAAGCACCCAAAAAAGCAUUUGAUUAUUUUUUUCUUUAAGUGCAAAUAAUAUUUUUGGCUAGUAGAACAUUAAGGACAGGCUUUUGCCUUUAGCAAAUAAAACUCAGUUCAAGACUCAGGCCAGACUCACCACCAAUUUAGACUCUUUUAAAAUUCUUAUGACUUGUUUGAGCCCUUCCAGACCAUUGAAACUGGUCUGGAACCUUUGGGUAACAUCUGGAAGAAAUGAUGUUGACCAAUGCCAAAAACAACAUUUAAAUAUCUAUCGUCCAGCCGAAGCUCUGGGAGGGAGACGCUCUGGAGAAGGGGUGGAAAUCUCAGACCCUUUUAUUGGCUUGGAGAACAGCCUGACCUCUCACGCAUCCUGUGAUGACUGAUGUCAUGUAGCCGGGAGGUAUGUUCCUCCAGUCUCACUGUUCUCUGCCAUCCCUGUCAGAUGUGAGCAGUGGAGAUGCACAAAGAUGCUCUCCUUUCUGGCGUUUGAGCUUUUCUGUAGCGCUGCGAAUAGAACCCAGGCCGUCGCCUAUAUGAGGCUAUCUGUUCUUCUUUUAGAUAGUUCCAGGCCAGAGAAAGUAUCUCUUUUUCAGAGAUUCUGUGAUGAUCUUAUAGCCAUUAGCUUUUCUGGGACUUCUAAAAGGGCAAUGUGCCUUCAGCUAAUGAAGCCCAGAAAGAGAGGCUGGAGAAACUCAACAUCUAGGACAUAAAGCAGACUGAACAUGAAGUGUGCCUGGUUUUAGCACCCUUGUCCCUAGUUGUCUUCAGUUUGUGCCUGAGGACAUCCCCAGACAGGUAACUCGCUGCUUCCCAAACUUCUGUUCCAUUAGAAGUCUUUGCUAGGCAAUUCUUUCUAAUACUAUCUCAGAACACUGAAAUACGAAAGACAGAACCAGGCUGAGGUCUUCUUGCUCAAGUGUCCUGCGUAUAUUGUACCCCUCUCCUUAAUUCUUAUAGCAUACCGGACCAGUCCAUAGAACAGUCUUAGAUCCAGUGCGCUGUGCAUAUGAGCCAAGGGGCCUGGGGAGAAUCUGGGACCAUGUCUCAGGAUUGUGAGUUGAAGGCAAAUGGAAGGGUUUCUUUCCACAAUGUUGUGUUACUUGAUGGGUCUUAGAGUAAAACACAAGUGGUCUGGGAGUUCUCUUGCCUUUGUCUUUAGUGUUUAGGUCACACAGGGCCUUGGAGGUCCCUGCACAGAUGUCCCAGAAGCCAUCAGUAAGUCUUGGUUAGAGAUCCAUACAACUCAAUUACAUUGUGAGGGAGUCGAUUGGAUGCUGUGAAAAGAACUGGAUUUAGGAGGUAGGGAAAGGAAACAGGAAUUACAAGUCUGUCACGCUUGUCUGGGUAGGAGAGGAUGUGGUCCAGAAAAAUCAUGAUCUGAUCGAGAACACAAUGAUUCAUAUAUCUAGAUGGUGCCACCUGGAUGCAGAGUGGUCAUGGGCAGAGCAUGGGUUAGUCUGCGGGGUCCUAAGAACAAGGGCAGUAAGAAUGUGAGUAGCUAUAGAAAUGAAAGAUUUAUUUUAAGGAAAUGGUCUUGCAAGAUAAUGGAGUCGGGGAAGUCCCAAGACCUACAGUUGGCAAACUGGAGGCCCAGAGGAGCCAAGAAGCAAGAGUCAGAGACCGAAGGCCUAGAAGAACUGGGAAUAAAGAAUUAAGUCUCAUUGUUCUUAUUAAGUAGAAGAGUAUUUAUGUGUAGAGUCCUAUUUUUCUAUUGAACAUGUGUUUAUUUGCAAAGCACAAGUGGCAGUUUUCACUAUCUCUGUAGAUAAGAAAAAUAAACAGCAGGAGAAUAAACAAACUAGAGCAGUCUUUCCCAGUGCAAGUGCUAUAGUAUAAAGUGUGUAAUGAGGAGUUAGGAGAGAAGUUAAGCAAUCAAUUGCUCUGUGAUCUUACACAGUAACCAAUUAAACAGAAAAUUCCACAGAGUGUUGCAUUCAUCUUCCCAGAGAUGAUUAAUUAGCCAAAUACUACACACACCCAUCUCUCAUCUCUCGGUCCAUGGAACCUCAAGAUGACCCUACUAAUUAGAAUGCAAUAUUGAUAAGACAUGCAUAUGCUUCCAAUUAAUAUUUGAAGGCCGGGCCAAUUUAUCAUAACGACAGGACAAUAGUCUAGGUGC